AGAAGGUCUCUGUCAGGCACCAGGGCUGGAACACUGAUGGCAGGAGAGGGUUUCUGCUGUGUGUCAGAAGCUGCCAGGAGGAGUCCAACAGCAUCCAAACCAGAGACUGGAUUUCUGCUUAAGGCUGGCUAUCGAGCUGUCUCACGAAGUAUGACUCAAGUGACAUCUCUACUGAUCUCAUCAAAGUCUUUUCCAGAGGCUUCAAGGAAAGAUGGAGAGAUAAGGACUUGGUAAUGUUGAGAUCUGGAACACAUUAAAAAAACAGGCAUUGCUAACUGACUGCAAGGCAAGGACUGUAUCAGCAGGAUGAGGGCUGCCCAGCAGAGUCCAAGGAGGCGGCAGGAUGCCAUCUGUCUGAGUAAAGACUCCAACAGAACCGUGCCGUAUCAGGAGGAUUUCUAAUAUGGAAAUAGGCACAGGAGAAUUUCAGAAGCCUCCUCAGGUCUUGCAGUGGU